rnacentral:tRNA from 1 species
GGGCCGUUAGCUCAACGGUAGAGCGCUCGCCUUACACGCGAUAGGUUGGGGGUUCGAAUCCCUCACGGCCCA